rnacentral:misc_RNA from 1 species
AAAAUAAUCCUACCCUUUGUGAAUUUUGUUUGUUUGAAUAAUUUUUUUUUUAAAAAAUUAUUGGAGUCUUUCCCUUUAGAGUUUGCUUUUGAGUUUGUAAAAGAAUUCGAAAACAUCUAAAGGGGAUGGUCAAUAAUUUUUUUUGAAAAAAGACAUUUUUUAAAAUUAAACUUUUUGUAUUCAUUUGUCUAAAAAUUAUUUUUAUAAUAUAAAAACAACUUUUGACAAUGGAUCUCUUGGUUCUCGCAACGAUGAAGAACGCAGCAAAAUGCGAUAAGUAGUGUGAAUUGCAGAAUACGUGAAUCAUCGAAUCUUUGAACGCAUAUUGCACUUUUUUAGUUUACUAAAAAAGUAUGUCUGUUUGAGUAUCAGUAAAAUAUUCUCAUAAAAAUCAUUGUGUAUUUUUAUGGUUAUGAGUGUUUUACAACGACACAAGUUGUUUCACUUUAAAUUUUUUUUUAAUAUUGAAAUUUUUCUAAUUUUAAUAAUUAAAAUUGGAUAAAAUUUUCCUGUCAAAAGGAAUAACCUAAACAAUUUUAAAUGAUUAAUUUUAGCAAAAUUUUCGUAAAAAAGGAAAAUUUUUAUUAAAAUAACUUGAUCUCAAAUCAGAUAAGAGUACCCGCUGAACUUAAGCAUAUCAAUAAGCGGAGGAAAAGAAACUAACAAGGAUUCCCUUAGUAACGGCGAGUGAAGCGGGAAGAGCUCAAAUUUGAAAUCUUCAAGGUUUUACCUUGACGAAUUGUAGUUUAAAGAAGUGUUUUCUGCUGAAGUUUUGGUAAAAGUUCUUUGGAAUAGGACAUCAUAGAGGGUGAGAAUCCCGUAUUUGACCAUUAUUUUCAGCUUUGUGAUGCACUUUCAGAGAGUCGGAUUGUUUGGGAAUGCAGUCCAAAAUGGGUGGUAAAUUUCAUCUAAAGCUAAAUAUUGGCGAGAGACCGAUAGCGAACAAGUACCGUGAGGGAAAGAUGAAAAGAACUUUGAAAAGAGAGUUAAACAGUACGUGAAAUUGUCAAAAGGGAAGCGUUUGACACCAGUGUUGUUUUCUCGAAAAUCAAUUAAAAAUGGCUCGAUUUUGUAUUGCUGAGACCUUAAAAGCUCACUGUACAUUUUUCGUGUCUUUUUUAAUGCACUUUUCGUUUAACAAGUCAACAUCAGUCUCUUUUGUUGUAAAAGGGUCAUUGGAAGGUGGCUUUCUUUUCGGAGAAAGUGUUUAUAGCCUUUGGCCUCUGCAAUCGAAGAGACUGAGGUCUGCAGCGUAGACUCUUCGGGGUUAGAUACAUUUAUGCUAAGUUAUAGCUUUUUAUAGACAACUUGUUGACUAUAAUUAGUCUUGUAGCUUACUCGCUUAUGCUAUUU